rnacentral:rRNA from 1 species
AUACGGAAGGUCCGGGCGUUAUCCGGAUUUAUUGGGUUUAAAGGGAGCGCAGGCGGAGAUGCAAGCGUGACGUCAAAUUUCGGGGCUCAACCCCGUCUCGCGUCGCGAACUGCGUCCCUUGGUUGCGGGAAGGGGAGGCGGAACUCGUGGUGUAGCGGGGAAAUGCAUAGAUAUCACGAAGAACUCCGAUCGCGAAGGCAGCCUUCCGGCCCGUCAACGACGCUCAUGCUCGAAGGUGCGGGUAUCAAACAGGAUUAGAUACCCUGGUAGUCCGCACAGUAAACGAUGGACACCCGCGGUUUGGCCUGUAUGGCUGAGCCGCCAAGCGAAAGCGUUAAGUGUCCCACCUGGGGAGUACGCCGGCAACGGUGAAACUCAAAGGAAUUGACGG